GACGGGGGGGGCAAGUGUUCUUCGGAAUGACUGGGCGUAAAGGGCACGUAGGCGGUGAAUCGGGUUGAAAGUGAAAGUCGCCAAAAAGUGGCGGAAUGCUCUCGAAACCAAUUCACUUGAGUGAGACAGAGGAGAGUGGAAUUUCGUGUGUAGGGGUGAAAUGCGUAGAGAUCCGGAGGAACCCCAGAGGCGAAGGCGGCGCCCUGGCUCGCAACUGACGCUCAGACACGACAGCAUGGGGAGCGAACGGG
rnacentral:rRNA from 1 species